CCGAGUUUACACUCCCAACCCUUUGUGAACCUUACCUACCGUUGCUUCGGCGGACCGCCCCGGGCGCUGCGUGCCCCGGACCCAGGCGCCCGCCGGGGACCACUCAAACCCUGUUUUUGUUUUCAAAACAUGUGUAUCUUCUGAGCGAGCCGAAAGGCGCAAAAAAACAAUCA
rnacentral:misc_RNA from 1 species